UGGAUCUUAUGGUGAAUAAUCCCUGUAAAAGAUGUUUCAUAAUUAGGAAACUUUUAUAUCACUAGUGUGUUGACAAACUGGUUGUCACACUCUGUUUAGGUAACAUUUAUUGUUCCUACAUUUGUUCAUCUACUUAUUCAAAAAAUAUUUAUUAGGCAUCUAUUCUAAAUUCUGGCAGUAUUUUCUUCUUGCAUGGUUUUGGAAAGUAGGCGUUGUUACCUCAGGAGAAUCGCUUGAACUGGGGAAGCAGAAGUUGCAGUGAGCCGAGACUGCACCACUGCACUCUAACCUGGGCAACAAAGUGAGACUCCAUCUC
rnacentral:lncRNA from 10 species